rnacentral:misc_RNA from 1 species
AAGUCGUAACAAGGUUUCCGUAGGUGAACCUGCGGAAGGAUCAUUAUUGAAAAUCUUUGUUGGUUCUGUGGUUGAGCUGGCUUUUAACAGAGCAUGUGCUUGCUACUUGACCUUCAAAAACCUUCAUCCACCUGUGCACACUUUGUAGGGGAGAACAAGUAUGUUUUUACACACACUAUUGAAUGUUUAGAAUGAUCAUCUUAUUGAAGAGCGUAAAAACUCUUUAAAUAAAACAUAAUACAACUUUCAGCAACGGAUCUCUUGGCUCUC